GAUGAACGCUGGCGGCGUACCUAAUACAUGCAAGUCGAACGAAACUUCUUUAUCACCGAGUGCUUGCACUCACCGAUAAAGAGUUGAGUGGCGAACGGGUGAGUAACACGUGGGCAACCUGCCCAAAAGAGGGGGAUAACACUUGGAAACAGGUGCUAAUACCGCAUAACCAUAGUUACCGCAUGGUAACUAUGUAAAAGGUGGCUAUACUACCGCUUUUGGAUUGGCCCGCGGCGCAUUAGCUAGUUGGUAGGGUAAAGGCUUACCAAGGCAAUGAUGCGUAGCCGAAUUGAGAGGUUGAUCGGCCACAUUGGGACUGAGACACGGCCCAAACUCCUACGGGAGGCAGCAGUAGGGAAUCUUCCACAAUGGGCGAAAGCCUGAUGGAGCAACGCCGCGUGGGUGAAGAAGGUCUUCGGAUCGUAAAACCCUGUUGUUAGAGAAGAAAGUGCGUGAGAGUAACUGUUCACGUUUCGACGGUAUCUAACCAGAAAGCCACGGCUAACUACGUG
rnacentral:rRNA from 1 species